rnacentral:rRNA from 1 species
AAAUUGAAGAGUUUGAUCAUGGCUCAGAUUGAACGCUGGCGGCAGGCCUAACACAUGCAAGUCGAGCGGUAGCACAGAGAGCUUGCUCUCGGGUGACGAGCGGCGGACGGGUGAGUAAUGUCUGGGAAACUGCCUGAUGGAGGGGGAUAACUACUGGAAACGGUAGCUAAUACCGCAUAACGUCGCAAGACCAAAGUGGGGGACCUUCGGGCCUCAUGCCAUCAGAUGUGCCCAGAUGGGAUUAGCUAGUAGGUGGGGUAACGGCUCACCUAGGCGACGAUCCCUAGCUGGUCUGAGAGGAUGACCAGCCACACUGGAACUGAGACACGGUCCAGACUCCUACGGGAGGCAGCAGUGGGGAAUAUUGCACAAUGGGCGCAAGCCUGAUGCAGCCAUGCCGCGUGUGUGAAGAAGGCCUUCGGGUUGUAAAGCACUUUCAGCGGGGAGGAAGGCGGUAAGGUUAAUAACCUUAUCGAUUGACGUUACCCGCAGAAGAAGCACCGGCUAACUCCGUGCCAGCAGCCGCGGUAAUACGGAGGGUGCAAGCGUUAAUCGGAAUUACUGGGCGUAAAGCGCACGCAGGCGGUCUGUCAAGUCGGAUGUGAAAUCCCCGGGCUCAACCUGGGAACUGCAUUCGAAACUGGCAGGCUAGAGUCUUGUAGAGGGGGGUAGAAUUCCAGGUGUAGCGGUGAAAUGCGUAGAGAUCUGGAGGAAUACCGGUGGCGAAGGCGGCCCCCUGGACAAAGACUGACGCUCAGGUGCGAAAGCGUGGGGAGCAAACAGGAUUAGAUACCCUGGUAGUCCACGCCGUAAACGAUGUCGAUUUGGAGGUUGUGCCCUUGAGGCGUGGCUUCCGGAGCUAACGCGUUAAAUCGACCGCCUGGGGAGUACGGCCGCAAGGUUAAAACUCAAAUGAAUUGACGGGGGCCCGCACAAGCGGUGGAGCAUGUGGUUUAAUUCGAUGCAACGCGAAGAACCUUACCUGGUCUUGACAUCCACAGAACUUUCCAGAGAUGGAUUGGUGCCUUCGGGAACUGUGAGACAGGUGCUGCAUGGCUGUCGUCAGCUCGUGUUGUGAAAUGUUGGGUUAAGUCCCGCAACGAGCGCAACCCUUAUCCUUUGUUGCCAGCGGUUCGGCCGGGAACUCAAAGGAGACUGCCAGUGAUAAACUGGAGGAAGGUGGGGAUGACGUCAAGUCAUCAUGGCCCUUACGACCAGGGCUACACACGUGCUACAAUGGCAUAUACAAAGAGAAGCGACCUCGCGAGAGCAAGCGGACCUCAUAAAGUAUGUCGUAGUCCGGAUUGGAGUCUGCAACUCGACUCCAUGAAGUCGGAAUCGCUAGUAAUCGUAGAUCAGAAUGCUACGGUGAAUACGUUCCCGGGCCUUGUACACACCGCCCGUCACACCAUGGGAGUGGGUUGCAAAAGAAGUAGGUAGCUUAACCUUCGGGAGGGCGCUUACCACUUUGUGAUUCAUGACUGGGGUGAAGUCGUAACAAGGUAACCGUAGGGGAACCUGCGGUUGGAUCACCUCCUUACCUUAAAGAA